AGCUGUGCCUGGAAAAAAAAAAUCCAUGAGACAAGUCCCUGGAGUUCUGCUCGGGAUUUCUGUGGUGUUGUAGAGAUGUAAUACCACAGAAAACCCACACUCCUUCAUGGGCCACCAUCAAGCACAGGAAAGCUGACAAGAUACCAAGACUAGCAGGCUGCAUGAUCCUACGUUUGGCUCUCUUGUAAACGGCUCAGAUUCAGGACAACAUCAAGGAUUGAAUAUCGCCCGUUAUACAAGGUGUCAGUAAUCACGUGGCUCCUGCAAGAUGUGAGUUGACUGUACGUCGUUUUCUUCAGAAAUCUAACUUUGGUACCCAAGGAUUGUGAGAUAUGACUCAGAAGUAUUAAAUGAGACCUUGGUCCAUCCUUUGUACCUAAGGAUUGUGGUAUAGGACUCAAAAGUAAUGUAUAACAAUGUGGCCCAUUUUUUGUUUCACCUGAGGAUUGUGGGAUAGGACUCGGAAGUAAUUAGAUAGACCGUGGUCCAACCGCUGCCCACUAGAGACUUUCCCAGCACAGAUAUACCAGUGAGGACCAUUGAGUACCCUGUGGAAAACGACACAUAUCAAUCAGAGAGCCUGGGGCGAGCGCAAAGUAAACCUAUGACGUUAGGGACUGGGUCUAUUUUUCAAAAUGGCGGCCUACAAAAUAAAUAAAUAAAAAAACGCGAAUUCCUGCAAGUUUACCUGAACAUUCUCGAUGUACACAUUUCUAAAGAGUUCAAGAUUGCUUGAUUUGCAAAGUGCAGUUGCUGAACUUACUUUUAGGAAUAGGAAUAAUAAGUAGACAAACAAGACCAGCGA